CGACCUUCCAUUGGGGAGUAGCCGCCCUGAUCUCACCGCGCCGCGCAAUGCGGCACCCGGAAGACAGGGGCGUACGUCAACAGACUUGACCAAAUGCCGACAUGGCAGGCGGUUAUGGCGUGCGCAGCCCAGGACCUUGUGUCCAGUGCCUGGCGAGACCGAUGACCAC
rnacentral:sRNA from 2 species